rnacentral:rRNA from 1 species
UACGUAGGGGGCAAGCGUUGUCCGGAAUCAUUGGGCGUAAAGAGCGUGUAGGCGGCCCGAUAAGUCCGCUGUGAAAGUCCAGGGCUCAACCCUGGGAUGCCGGUGGAUACUGUCGGGCUCGAGUCCGGAAGAGGAGUGUGGAAUUCCUGGUGUAGCGGUGAAAUGCGCAGAUAUCAGGAGGAACACCGGUGGCGAAGGCGGCAUCCUGGACCGGUAUUGACGCUGAUGCGCGAAAGCCAGGGGAGCAAACGGG